GUUUGAAUACAGACAGCACCUUGUCCAUGAUCCAGAGGGAUCCACCACCAUUCUCUCUGUUUUUCCUCGAUUCCUGGACACUAAAGGAUUGAUUCUUCAGGACUUCACACUCCUCUUUGGGUCAGAAAACUGCUUCCAGACUUUUGGAAAGGUGGCCGACAGUUUUCAAAGCAAGGUUAUCAGGCUAGGAGAAACCUUGACUUCCACUCCACUGCUGAAAAGAUUACUGUCAUCUGCCAAACAGAGCAAAGAAAGCAGCGAGGCACAGGAUUCCCCAGAGUGGGACAGUGAUAUAUCAUCCUUCCUUCUACUUUUGCAUCUCCUAUCACCCCAGGCUUCAGGAAGAAAGAAAAUCCAAAGGAUCAGUAUUUCACAGGCUAUUGACCAUCUGGUGGUGUUUCACAAAGCAUGCAGGAGUAUACAGGAACACCUUGAGCUGGAAGAGAAUCGUCAGCCAUACAUUCUUGCCUCAGGGAGCAGCAAGGAAGCCAUCAGUCACUACUUCAUUGUGGUGGAUAAAAAGCUCAUCCCCUGU